rnacentral:rRNA from 1 species
GACGAACGCUGGCGGCGUGCUUAACACAUGCAAGUCGAACGGAAAGGCCCUGCUUUUGUGGGGUGCUCGAGUGGCGAACGGGUGAGUAACACGUGAGUAACCUGCCCUUGACUUUGGGAUAACUUCAGGAAACUGGGGCUAAUACCGGAUAGGAGCUCCUGCUGCAUGGUGGGGGUUGGAAAGUUUCGGCGGUUGGGGAUGGACUCGCGGCUUAUCAGCUUGUUGGUGGGGUAGUGGCUUACCAAGGCUUUGACGGGUAGCCGGCCUGAGAGGGUGACCGGCGCCAGGCGGGCUGGGGGACGGCGCCGCUCAGGGGGGGAGGCGGCCGGGGGGAGGAUGGGCCGGCGGGGGGAGGCGGGGGGCGGGAGGGCGGGGGGCGGGCGGGCGGCGUGCGGGUCGUCAACCGCUGUCGCCUGUGACGAGGCGUGGGGGAGGGUGAGGGGAAAAGAAGCACCGGGUAACUAGGGGCCGGCAGCCGCGUGAAUAAGCGGAAACGCCUACGCCUGAAC